rnacentral:rRNA from 1 species
ACGGAAGGCAGCAGUGGGGGAUAUUGCACAAUGGAGGGAACUCUGAUGCAGCGACGCCGCGUGUGGGAAGACGGUCUUCGGAUUGUAAACCACUGGCUUUGGGGACGAUAAUGACGGUACCCAAGGAGGAAGCUCCGGCUAUCUACGUGCCAGCAGCCGCGGUAAUACGUAGGGAGCGAGCGUUGUCCGGAAUUACUGGGUGUAAAGGGAGCGUAGGUGGAAAGACAAGUUGGAUGUCAAAUAUAUCGGCUUAACUGGUAUCCGCAUUCAAAACCGUUUUUCUUGAGUGAAGUAGAGGUUGGUGGAAUUCCUAGUGUAGCGGUGAAAUGCGUAGAUAUUAGGAGGAACAUCGGUGGCGAAGGCGACCAACUGGGCUUAAACUGACACUGAGGCUCGAAAGCGUGGGGAGCAAACAGGAUUAGAUACCCUGGUA